rnacentral:tRNA from 1 species
GGGCCUGUAGCUCAGCGGUUAGAGCCGUCCGCUCAUAACGGAUUGGUCGCAGGUUCGAAUCCUGCCGGGCCCACCA